ACGAGUUUGAUCAUGGCUCAGAUUGAACGCUGGCGGAAUGCUUUACACAUGCAAGUCGAACGGUAGAGGGGGCAACCCCUUGAGAGUGGCGAACGGGUGAGUAAUAUAUCGGAACGUGCCCAGUCGUGGGGGAUAACGUAGCGAAAGUUACGCUAAUACCGCAUACGAUCUACGGAUGAAAGCGGGGGACUCGCAAGAGCCUCGCGCGAUUGGAGCGGCCGAUAUCAGAUUAGGUAGUUGGUGGGGUAAAGGCUCACCAAGCCAACGAUCUGUAGCUGGUCUGAGAGGACGACCAGCCACACUGGAACUGAGACACGGUCCAGACUCCUACGGGAGGCAGCAGUGGGGAAUUUUUGGACAAUGGACGCAAGUCUGAUCCAGCCAUUCCGCGUGCAGGAUGAAGGCCCUCGGGUUGUAAACUGCUUUUGUACGGAACGAAAAGGUUUCUAUUAAUACUAGGAGCUCAUGACGGUACCGUAAGAAUAAGCACCGGCUAACUACGUG
rnacentral:rRNA from 1 species